GCCCCCCUAGCUCAGUCGGUAGAGCGUUUCCAUGGUAAGGAAAAGGUCAUCGGUUCGAUUCCGAUGGGGGGCUCGA
rnacentral:tRNA from 2 species